GUACCGCUUCGGCGGUACAUAUUCUAGAAUUUGAACCACACAGAAAAGAUUACCAAGGCCUCUGCGCAAGGACGACACGCAUAAUCGUUAUGCGUUCCACAGUUUU